AGACGGUCUUAUUGGUGGACUCUAAGACGUCAUGGUAAAGUUGAAGUUCUUUCAUGAUCUUGUGGCAGGUGGUGCAUGGCCGUUCUUAGUUCGUGUAGUGAUACGUCUGCCUAAUCGCGUCACGAUAACCUAUUUCUCGACAAUCCAAAGAUCUUCGUGCAGUAUCUAUUGGUACGUGCUCACGUUAGUAGGCUAGAGAUUUGAACAGUACGCAACGGACGCGAUCGUAAUCUCUUGUUAAGUGGCCAUCCUGUGAGCCCCUGAUUUAAUGGCAGGCGGUAUCAUCUCAGCCACAUUUCCUCUGGUAGUAGUGGGCCAGAUUUAAAACUCGAGAAACAUCUGUGACUUUCUUUCUUUACGCAGAGGAAGGUUAUGGCAAUAACAGGUCUGUGAUGC
rnacentral:rRNA from 1 species